rnacentral:rRNA from 1 species
UACGUAGGGUGCGAGCGUUGUCCGGAAUUAUUGGGCGUAAAGGGCUCGUAGGCGGUUUGUCGCGUCGGGAGUGAAAACCUCGGGCUUAACUCGGGGCUUGCUUUCGAUACGGGCAGACUAGAGGUAUGCAGGGGAGAACGGAAUUCCUGGUGUAGCGGUGAAAUGCGCAGAUAUCAGAAGGAACACCGGUGGCGAAGGCGGUUCUCUGGGCAUGAUCUGACGCUGAGGAGCGAAAGUGUGGGGAGCGAACAGG